AAGUUAAUUUCUGGGUUAUAUGGCAACUCUUUAUUUGUUUGGAGAAUUUGCAAACUCUUUUCCAAAAUAGGUGUUCAUUUUACAUUCCCAUCAGCAAU
rnacentral:pre_miRNA from 1 species